rnacentral:tRNA from 2 species
GGAGGGCUGGCAGAAUGGCUAAUGCAGCGGUCUUGAAAACCGCCGUCCGCAAGGACUUACAGGUUCGAAUCCUGUGCCCUCCG